rnacentral:misc_RNA from 1 species
GUGAAUCAUCAAAUUUUUGAACGCAAAUUGCACUCUCUGGUAUUCCGGAGAGUAUGCCUGUUUGAGGGUCAGUUUAAAUAAAAAUCGGUGUGGUUGCUGCAUUUCGUGGUUACGCACCGGAUUUUGGUCGUCUUGCCUUCGGUUAAGUGACCUAACAUUUUGCAUUAUUUGUUUCGAACGUUUUUACAUGAUUUUACGUGCCUUUGCGAUAUAUCAUUCUAGGUGUGGUCAUCAUCAUGA